UACGUAGGCAGCGAGCGUUGUUCGGAUUUACUGGGCGUAAAGGGUGUGUAGGCGGUUGUUUAAGUUUGGUGUGAAAUCUCCCGGCUCAACUGGGAGGGUGCGCCGAAUACUGAAUGACUAGAGUGCGGGAGAGGAAAGUGGAAUUCCUGGUGUAGCGGUGAAAUGCGUAGAUAUCAGGAGGAACACCGGUGGUGUAAACGGCUUUCUGGACCAUAACUGACGCUGAGGCACGAAAGCGUGGGUAGCAAACAGG
rnacentral:rRNA from 1 species